UCACGGACAUAUACUGGACACCCAGCAGGA
rnacentral:piRNA from 1 species